CAGACAUAUUUCGACAUUUUAGACAUACAUCAAUCAAGGGCAGUGAGUGAUUUUCUCACUGUUUUUUUGUUUGAUUAACAUUAUGAACAGACAACAGCAAGCAAAUUAGGGCCGCAGUCCCUUCCAAACUGAAUGCUCCCAACUGUUUACGAUCACUUAAGUCAUAACCGAGUGUGUUUACCAUAACCUUUGGAGAUCGGUUUGGAAGACCCAAUUGACCACUGACCAGAGGAACACUCUUUUGUGCCUGUAAGAUUGCCUCAUGGAGAAUGUCUUGUCCGGUCCUGCUGUGCGCCCUGUGAUUCAGUGC
ensembl:lncRNA